GACGAACGCUGGCGGCGUGCUUAACACAUGCAAGUCGAACGGAAAGGCCCUGCUUUUGUGGGGUGCUCGAGUGGCGAACGGGUGAGUAACCCGUGCGUAACCUGCCCUUGACUUUGGGUUAACUUCAGGAAACUGGGGCUAAUACCGGAUAGGAGCUCCUGAUGCAUGGUGGGGGUUGGAACGUUUCGGCGGUUGGGGCUGGAGUCGCGGCUUAUCAGCUUGUUGGUGGGGUAGUGGCGUACCAAGGCGUGGACGGGUAGCCGGCCUGAGAGGGUGACCGGCCACAGUGGGACUGGGGUACGGGCCGGAGUGCAUCGUGAGGCAGCAGCGGAGAAUAGAGCACAAUGGGCGGAGGCCAGAUGGAGGAACGCCGCGUGGGAGAUGACGGUCGUCGGGUUGGAAACCGCUUUCGUCAGUGACGAAGCGUGAGGGACGGUAAGUAGUAAAGAAGCACCGCCUAACUACGU
rnacentral:rRNA from 1 species